ACGAACGCCCAGCUGGUUGACAAAGCGGACCUCUACCUGGGUGACGGCUCUCCACCUUCUCGGCAUAGGAACAAUAAAUACAAUCCAAGUUGUGGGCAAACAAUAGUUCGGUGCCUGCAGAACAGCAAGCUAAAUAUGAGGACAUACUGUGCUCUACCAACUAUGGACUAAGGAGUGCCGUGAGCCAGGGCACAUGGCAUGCUGUAAAACUGUCAAGGUCAUAAACUGUGAGCAGUAAAGGCCAUGAGAUCAUACUACAACCUGCAACAGCGGAUGACUGUGAACAUGGAAACACCUCGAGCUUUGGAUUUAGAGGACUGGUUUGAGUCCCACUACUGACACGAGAUAGGCUGAGAUGGAAAAAGAUGACACGCUGUGGCACCCCCUAACAGGACAAGCCGAAAGAAGAAGAAGAAGAAGGACAGCUCAUACACAGAACAGCAAGCACAUCAACAUGACAAUAAGCAGCAACUGAGCUGUCCAAUUUUACCGAAAAUUCAUUGAAUGAUGUGAGGACUGAGCCAGAUCUUCGGCCAGCAUCACCGGCCGUGCAUAAAACCUGUGCUAUUGUGCUAUAUGAGUCAACUUGCAAGUGAUUGUGUCAACCACCUGUCUUAUUAUUUAUAAAAUAGUAACACUAAAUUCAAGUACUGCUACAUGUUUGGUGAGAGGACCCUUACCGCUCAUUCCCUACUGCCCUCCAGGCGACAACGCUGUUAAUGCAAAUGGUAAACAACAAGAUUGGAAAAUAAUCAGUCACGCUAUAACAGGUCAUUGCAUGAUGGUAAAGUCGACAUGUCCAAUCCUCGACUAACCAGUUCAACAUCAAUAUACACACUGAACUGUACAGUGAAACUUCGGGGUACACAUUAAAUCAAAUGGGGCUACAACAAACAUCCAUCCAUCCAUUUUCUAAGCCGCUUAUCCUCACAAGGGUAGCGGGAGUGCUGGAGGACCCUAUCACAGCUGUCAAUGGGCAGGAGGCGGGGUAUACCCUAAACUUUUUUCCAGCCAAUCGCAGGGCACACAGAGACAAACAGGCGCACUCACAAUCACACCUAGGGCCAAUUUAGUGUCCAAUCAAUGCAUGUUUUUGGGGAUGUGGGUGGAAACCGGAACACCCGGAGAAAAUCCACACAGGCAAGGGGAGAACAUGCAAACUCCACACAGGCGGGGCUGGGAUUUGAACCCUUGUUGUGUGAAUCAGUGAUUCUCAAAGUGUGCUUUAGGUACCAUGAGUGGUACACAGACUUCCUGGAGUGAAAUGUGAAAGAAUUACUGAAUAAAAUACAACCUAAAUAAAUUACAUACAGUACAUGAUAAAAUGAAAUGCACCCAAACAUAUAAGAAUGUUUUUUUUUUUUUCUUUCUGUUUAUCUUUUCUUUUGGUUGCCGAAGGGAGGAUAUAUAAGGAGGUGUAUGGGAUUAUGUGAAUUGAUGUUCUGUGUAUCUGUAAUUGUUUGCUUAAAAUUGAAUACCUGUUAAAUAAAGAAUUUGAAAAAACUAUGGAUAAAAAUAUGUUAUCAACCUAUGGUAAUAAAAUCAAGAGAGAUGCAAAAGAAAGACUUUUUUCAGACUAAGAUCGACACAUUGAGCACCCCUGGGUUAGAGUCCUCGCAGUUCUGAGGACCGGGGUUCAAAUGCCAGCCCAACCUGUGAGGAGUUUGCAAGUUCUCUCCGUGCCUGUGUGGGUUUUCUCCGAGUACUCCGGUUUCCUCACACUUCGAAAAACUCUAAAGACAAAAGACUCUAAAUUGCCUGCAAGUGUGAACGUGAGUGUCAAUAGUUAUUUGUUUCUAUGUGCUGGCGACCAGUUCAGGGUGUACAUAACCUCCGGCCAGAAGAUAACUGGGAUCGAAUCCAGCUCUUCCGUGACAAGGAUAAGCGGCUCAAAAAAUGGAUGGCUGCUACGUAACACAACACGGAAGAUAUUUAAAAAUUUUAAAAAAAGACUUUUCACUUUGCUAUCGUAGGGUUAUUGUAGAGCCAAAUCGUUAGUCAUUGAUUUUUGUCACACUACAAGACGUUAUGUCGUUCCCGACAAAAUAAAUCGGACCCAAUACGGGAAAUCGGUCGCAAUUAUAACAAUCUUGUGGUCGGAUUUCGGCAUAACAGAGCUAACUUUCCUCUGUUAAUUCUGGAAUUCUGUUACUGUUACAGUUCAACUAAUUAUAUCGUGGUACGAAUUUUCUGUUCUGUGGUAAUCAUCACGCUAUUCCUCUUUGCCAAAAAGUAAGUCCCAAUGAGCACCCUUUAAAAUAAUUGAAAAUAGUCACCUUUGUUUGAACUACUAGGGUGGACACAGACAGUUUGUGUACUUUACAGAGCAGAUAGUUUCCAUAUUCAUUUUCACUCUACAAACGACUCCACUUGGCCCCGUUCAAUGAAAAUUUAUCGAUUGUCAGCGUCUUCUGCAGAACUGCCCGCAAAUGUCCACGUGGUUUCGGGGUAAUCAAUUCAGGAUGCGAUGUAGUCUGCUCCUAAAUUUGUACUUGUACUUUGAAUUACAAGGGAACUUCCCCCUGGAAUAAAAACUUGGACAUUUAACCAACGUUUACGCUUACAGUGUUUUAAGGAGGAAAGUAAACAACACGGUCCUUCCCAUAUGGCUUCGGGAUCUCUAAGGAAGUCUCCUCUUUGACGGCUCAAUCGACAAGGUGGUGUGAUUUGCAAGAAGAAGAAAAAAAAAGUUGUAAAGUGAAGUUGCGUAACAUCACGGAGGAGGCUCCGGGGCGCAAAGUUGCAAUGGAAUAUGCAACAGGCUGCAUGCAUGCGCGGGGGUGGCCGAGGAGGGUG